CGGACGGGUGAGUAAUGUCUGGGAAACUGCCUGAUGGAGGGGGAUAACUGCUGGAAACGGUAGCUAAUACCGCAUAACGUCGCAAGACCAAAGAGGGGGACCUUCGGGCCUCUUGCCAUCGGAUGUGCCCAGAUGGGAUUAGCUAGUAGGUGGGGUAACGGCUCACCUAGGCGACGAUCCCUAGCUGGUCUGAGAGGAUGACCAGCCACACUGGAACUGAGACACGGUCCGG
rnacentral:rRNA from 1 species